ensembl:lncRNA
GCAUGCAAAUGGAGUUUAAUUCUCGGAGUCGAGACGCAAGUCAAACUGUCACCGGCUUCUGAGGCACGCGAGGGAGGAGAACAGGAGAUGCCACCGUACAGCAGGGAUGAGCGCACAGGCAAACAAAGGGCUUCACGCUCAAACGGAGAGGGAGGAGAGGAGGAUGGAGGGAGAAGAGGGCUGGAAAGGAAGUUGGAAGAGAAGGGGGAAAAAAAAGAAGCAGGAAUGAAAAAGAGGUGGAGGUUCAGAAAAUAUUAACUUAACUGACAUUUAAAUGGCAAUUCAUCGUAUCCAGUGUCUCCUCCUGAGUGCCUUAUGGUCAACAGGGCAUUCUGUGGUUUUUCAUUUCCUGUGGAGCAUAGACUGACAGCUGGAGCCAUGGCUUUCUGUGUAAACAACAGAAGAUGCAGCAUCUUCUUGGCUCAGGUCAACCAUCAAGGCCCAUUUCAACUUAGAUGGAGAUCCCUGGCCGACACCCUGUCUCCCCCUGGGGACCUGACUGCUGUCCGCGUGGGGAAGAAGUGCUGCCAGACCACCUAAUGAGCCAGGUGACACAAAGACACACCUGAUAGCCCACCUCUGUGCAGGUUUCUCUAUGCUUGUCUGUGUGUGCACAUGCACGUGCA